rnacentral:misc_RNA from 1 species
GAAAAUCUUAAAGUAUGAUUGUGUCUGUUGUUUCAUAGGGUUACCCACUUUGUUUGGUUGCUUAAAUGUAAAUUGAACGACAGCGCGUGCGUUGCAGCAGCCUCCAUCUUUCUCGACUACUGAUAGCUUAGAAGCUAUACUCUCAUGGCCGCUAAUUUGCCACCGACGCAACCAUCACUCUCCUCUAAGCCAUCGAACAAAAAGGGAAAGGGAAAGAGAAAAAGAAAUGCUCAAGACCCGGAACUCGACCGGCUCGAUUCACUUCCGUGGAACCAGUCUCUUUCAGAGGAUGAUCCCUUCUCUGCCUUUGUUGGCUCUCACAAGCUUGAAGGAGGUUUUCUUUCUCUUGAAGAGAUUGAUGAGGCUGGUUAUGGUUUAGAGAUUCCUAAUGUUGACGAGGGAAAGCCAGGGAGAAAUGUAAAAUCAAAGAAACGGAAGCAUAAUAAUGCUGACGAUGGAACUGAAGAGAAAGUGGAGGAAGAAGAGAAGACUGGGGAGAAUGAGGAAAAGAAAA